AGAAGAAGAAGAACUUUCCUGUUGUCGUCCGAUGCUAAAGCUAGUUAGCCGGAAACUCUUCUCUGAAUAGGUCAAACUUCUCUGUGAUUCUCGAAUAUGUUUUUUGAAGAGCUCCAGAAACACAAAGGUCGACAGUAAACCAGAAGAAGAAAAGGCGAAGUUAUCGCGAAAAGGUGGAACAGCUGAGAAGGUUGUUGAAACAGCGGCUAACUGCUGCUAAUGCCGAGAUAUUUGAGUUGGUAGAAACAAACAGAUCGCAGAGCAGCAAGAAUAAAUGAGUGGAUUUAAAGCAGAGAAGAAGCUAGUCAACGUGCUGGAUGUUGUUUUCAAGCCUGAAAUUCACUGAUCCAGAGCAGACAUGCAACCGUUGAUGGGGAUUAAAGAAGAAAGUCUCCUUGAACACCAGGAAUGGAAUCUGAGUGUUGAACAGGAGAACAUUAAAGAAGAAGAGAAGCUGUGGAUAAGUCAGCAGGGAGAUCAGCUUCAGCAGCUGGAGGA